UACGGGGGGGGCAAGCGUUGUUCGGAAUUACUGGGCGUAAAGGGCUCGUAGGUGGCCAACUAAGUCAGACGUGAAAUCCCCAGGCUCAACUUGGGAACUGCGUCUGAUACUGGAUGGCUUGAAUUCGGGAGAGGGAUGCAGAAUUCCAGUUGUAGCGGUGAAAUGCGUAGAUAUCUGGAGGAAUACCGGUGGCGAAGGCGGCAUCCUGGACCGAUAUUGACACUGAGGAGCGAAAGCCAGGGGAGCAAACGGG
rnacentral:rRNA from 1 species